rnacentral:rRNA from 1 species
UAGGGAAUCUUCCGCAAUGGACGCAAGUCUGACGGCGCAACGCCGCGUGAGUGAAGAAGGAUUUCGGUUCGUAAAACUCUGUUGUUAGAGAAGAACAGCGCAUAGAGUAACUGUUAUGCGUGUGACGGUAUCUAACCAGAAAGCCACGGCUAACUACGUGCCAGCAGCCGCGGUAAUACGUAGGUGGCAAGCGUUGUCCGGAUUUAUUGGGCGUAAAGCGAGCGCAGGCGGUCAAUUAAGUCUGAUGUGAAAGCCCCCGGCUCAACCGGGGAGGGUCAUUGGAAACUGGAAAACUUGAGUGCAGAAGAGGAAAGUGGAAUUCCAUGUGUAGCGGUGAAAUGCGCAGAGAUAUGGAGGAACACCAGUGGCGAAGGCGACUUUCUGGUCUGUAACUGACGCUGAUGUGCGAAAGCGUGGGGAUCAAACAGG